rnacentral:lncRNA from 1 species
AAAAUCGGUCUAGUUAUUUGCCUAAAUCUGCAAAUUUCGAAACAGAUUUGCAAUUCAAUGGUUAGACUGUUUUUUCUAUUUAAAGAAAACUUGUUAAUAAAUCGUAUUAUUCAAAAUAUUUUUACAAAUAUCAAUUUUUUUUGUUUCAAAAUCAUUUUUUUCAAAUGAGCCAUUUAAGGGGAGAUAACUCUUUUAGUACAAAAUUUAUACUGGGUUAAUAGGGAUUUUUUUAAUUUUUACUUGUAGCAAGAAAAUAAGUUCGGUGACACCAUGUUUUCUUUUUAUUUUCUUAAAACAUAUUAUGAAACCUAUCUUCUCACAAUAUAUUUCAAAAUUCUAUCUCAUAGAAUUUUUUUCAUGCACACUAAUGAGUAUUUUCAUGAACAAUCUUACCAAAUUUUGGCAAUUUUCAACGACUCAUAGCUUGAAAAAUAGCACGGUGACCCGUACUUUUUAUUAUAUUUUUGAAAAGAGCAUAGUAAAAUCUUCAUUUUGGCAAAUUAUAAAAAAAUUCUGUCUCAAAAAAUAUAUACUUGUGAUCUACCUUAAAAGGCCAAAAACAAAGUUGAAAAGCAUUCAGGAAAUACAACUAAUACCGGCGUCACACAUCAGCGUAUAGCUCCGGCGUGUUAAAAAUCAUUUACGCUGCCAAUAUGCUUUAAGCGUGUAUUGGGCGUACUAGAAGCGUACCUAAG